UCUCUCCACACCUAGUUGAAAAGGACACCCUUCCCUGAAUUGAGGAGGACUGCUCUUUGGUUAAGUAGGUAUACAAGCAGCUGAGCUCCCUGCCAGAACCUCCAAACAAGCUCUACAUAAAGGAUAGCCUUUAAAACAAGUAGUACAGAAGC
rnacentral:sRNA from 1 species